GGUCUUCUCUGUAGGCACCCCUCCAUGGAUGCGCGAGGAACGAGUGUGGCGAAGGCUGCGAGUUCCCACGGGGUCCUUGGCCCGGUAGUGAAGACAGAGUCUCGCCCUGUCGCCCAGGCGGGAGUGCAAUGUCCUGAUCUCGGCUCACUGCAACCGCUGCUUCCCGGGUUCAAGCGAUUCUCCUGCCUCAGCCUCCCGAGUAGCUAGGAUUACAGGCGCCCGCCACCACGCCCAGCAAAUUUUUGUUUUUUUAGUAGAGACGGGGCUUCACCCAUGUAUGACCUCAGGUGAUCCACCCACUUCGGCCUCCCAGAGUGCUGGGAUUACAGGCGUGAGCCACCGCGCCCGGCCCAUUAAUACUGUUAAUUCGAGCAGAAUGUUCUUGGCCCCGCCCCAACAGCCCCAUUGUUCAACCUGGAUUUUUUUCCUGAAUGAAACAUUUGCUAUCCCCGUCUUUGAGAUGGGGAGCUACAAAAGUAAGACCUGAUGUCCUGCUGUGUAAUAAAACAACAAACGUUUGGCCCUCU
rnacentral:lncRNA from 1 species